GACAUUUCAUCGAGCAUAUAAGACAAAUGCCCAACUUCAAACUAAGAACUCAUCCAAUAGAGAUCCACACAAACCAAUAAUAAGAGUGUGUACAUGACAAGAAAAAGAAUGCACAUAUAUCAAAUUUGACAAGUAGCACAAAGUCAAGUUCGAUGUAACUAAAUGAAAAUUCCCACAAACCAUUGACAUAAACAAAUAACUAAAGAGUUUAAGCAAAUCAUUUUUACCUCCAUAACACACUUUUCAAUGUAAAGGCUUCUCCUUCUUUGAUUACUCAAAGGGAUCCCCUUUGCUGAGUGGACAUCAUUAGGGGAAAUUUGUUGGUCAUGAUUUUACGAUCCCGGGGAAAAUUAGGCAACUUCCGGACUUCAAUAAUGGUUAAAUCCAAGUCACCGUAAAGGUAAACCACUUGCUUCAACACUUCUUUCACCAUUUUUAAAGCAGCUCACUAUUAAAAAAAAAUCGUAGAGAAGAACAAAAGACAAAAGGAAAGGUCUUCGAAGUUGCAGGCGACGAUGGGGGAUUUGGGUGUUAAACGAAAAGCCAAUACAUUGUUGAUUUUAGUGAAUUAAAAAGUGGGUUGACCUUGAUUUUGGCUUUCAUGAAGUCGAUAAAAAUGAAAAAUGGCAACCAUGUGAAGCUGCAAGGCUAUAACUACAGU
rnacentral:lncRNA from 1 species